GGGGAGGGAGAGGCCAUAUGAGUGGAGGGACCUGUGGAGGAAAAAUUAUUAUUACUAUCUUGAUGUCCGCUGAACCAAAGUGGAUGGAAAUUUCUCAGGACAUAUUCAUCCAAACUACAAAAACAGGUUACUCCAUACUGAUUACAGGAUGAUUUAUCACACAUUCAUUAAAUAUAGAACAUUGACUAGCGACCAGUUUCCUCCAACAACAGAUCCAUUUGGAAAUGGCACACUGUAGAAGGCAAUCUUGUGACUUUCUUCUAGUUGUAUAUAAAAAAUACAAAUCAGUCAGGGAGUCAGGUACAAACAGUGGAACAAAAGCAUGAAUAGAUACGCCUUAUCAAAGAAUGUGCUCAUUUCAUAUUGCAGAACUUCUAUCUAGAUUCUGAUUUUUAGAAACUUACUGCUGGUUCAUUUGUUCAGAGAGGUCUCUUCACACCUCUCUUCCACUCCUACCUCCCCCUGCUAAAAUCCACUGACUGAAGAACACUUAGUAUGGAUCCACAUGGAACCAAAAGCCCCAAGUGAAUGGAGUCACAUGCAUCAGCACAGUGGCUACCGGUUUCAUCUGCUCACCCAGCCUCAUGUAUUUAGGGACUAAAUUCAAGCUAGAAGCACCCAACACUUUUGUCUUUUGGAAUCUAAUCAAAGUGCCAAUGUACAUCUAAAAGUCCCAUGUAUAGGAAUCUCUUGAUUCCUACAAAUGAGAUUCAAGGGAGAGAACAGUGAGGAAAGCCCAGAGAGCGGGCAGGAGACUGGCCACAAGCCAGGUCUACUUAAACUUUGAAAGAUGAGAUUGUUCAAAAAUGACACGAGAAAAUCACCCAUCACCACUAGGUUAAAGACUUGAAUAUGUGAGAGCUCCAGAGCCUCAAACUCCUACUACAGUCACUGAUCCAUAACAUUUUCCUCUUGCAAUAGACUCCACGCCAAAGUAGCACAGUCUUGC
rnacentral:antisense_RNA from 1 species